rnacentral:sRNA from 1 species
UGAAACAUCUUGAUGAGACUGAAGUCCU